rnacentral:rRNA from 1 species
GACGAACGCUGGCGGCGUGCUUAACACAUGCAAGUGGUGCGACGAACCAGGGCUUGCCCUGGGGCCAAGCCGCGAACGGGUGAGUAACACGUGAGUAACCUGCCCCGAUGACCGGGACAACCCGAGGAAACUCGGGCUAAUACCGGAUGUGGUGCAUUGAUUGAUUCUUUGCACUAAAGGAAGCUUCGGCCUCCGCAUUGGGAGGGGCUCGCGGCCCAUUAGCUUGUUGGUGGGGUAACGGCCUACCAAGGCAACGAUGGGUAGCUGGUCUGAGAGGACGAUCAGCCACACUGGGACUGAGACACGGCCCAGACUCCUACGGGAGGCAGCAGUGGGGAAUCUUGCGCAAUGCGCGAAAGCGUGACGCAGCAACGCCGCGUGGGGGAAGACGGCCUUCGGGUUGUAAACCCCUUUCAGGAGGGACGAAGGUUCGGCGGUUAAUAGCCGACCGGAUUGACGGUACCUCCAGAAGAAGCUCCGGCUAACUACGUGCCAGCCGCCGCCGUAAAAC